UGCAUAGACGCCUAAACUGUGAGAGAUGCUUCUGUAUAAGAGCAAGUAAACCCAUAGUAUCAGAGGUUCAGAGUGCUUGAAAGUGACAAAGGUAAACACAACAAUGCUAUAUCAACGGAUUCUUACGGGCGUUUUACAGGGUAAAUUUGAGUUGGUAAAGUAUGAUUGGAUUAAGGGGAGGGAGGGCCCCCACCCCCUUCAAAUCCCGUAUUAAGUCCGUAGAUGUACCAUUUUUGAGGUAAACAUAUAACUGUCAUCUGGUGGGAUAGAGCACUUCAGGAACACUGUCUGAUUAUAGGCAUUAGGCAAGUAAAUUUUCUAUAAUCCAAGCAUCAAUUUAGAAAUAUCGCACUAAUUUUUGAAGCCUAACGUGUUAAAGAAUUCAGUAUUUAGUCGAAAGUUUCUCUCCGAUACAAUUAUUUCAUUUAAAGAAUUUAUAACAAUACUAGCUGGGCCUAAUUCCUAAGGAAGCGGAUUGUAGCCAAACAAAAUACCAAACAUGCAGCUAAUCAAAGUUGGUGUGCCGCGGCUAAAUUAUCAAAUCCAUAAUGCAUAGGAAAACUCAAAAGAAGUUCAUAAUGCAGAGUAAGACAAACUUGGGCUCUUUGAGUCAUUCCCGAUCCCAGACAUCUAAAGUAAAUCUCACAAUCCAUGACAUCACGGGUCGCACAUAGUUUAAGUAUGGAAGCAUUAAAGAGCAGUAUAAUCCGCCUUGCUGGCUCGCUGCUGCUAACUGAAGAUAUUGUCACGGCACGGUACUAGAAUUCUCACAUCGUCCAAAAGCGAAAAGCAUUUGGAGGCGAGGAGGAAACCCCCCACAAAAGCAAAGGCCAACAGUUCGCAGUUAUCGUCAACAGCACCAGGGGGAAGCCCGUGCGACAAACACAUCCACAGAUCACCCAUUCGUCCCAAGAAAAUUCCUAUGCUCCGGCAGGGAUCACCCACCGGCGCACCAAAUCGAGCAGCGAAAUUCGCCCACACAGCACACACACAAAGAAGAAGAAGCUAGCGAGGCGAUCUACAUGGGGAUGGGGGCAAGUAGAGCUCGACGGAUUUAUUUCUCGGAUCAAACGGCUCGAGGUGGGGGAUCAUGGGGUGUACGGUGGUCGUCACCUGU
rnacentral:lncRNA from 1 species